AUUGGAGAGUUUGAUCCUGGCUCAGGACGAACGCUGGCGGCGUGCCUAAUACAUGCAAGUCGAGCGGAGUUACUUUGAAAGCUUGCUUUCAAAGUAACUUAGCGGCGGACGGGUGAGUAACACGUAGGCAACCUGCCCCUUAGACUGGGAUAACUACCGGAAACGGUAGCUAAUACCGGAUAAUUUCUUUUUUCUCCUGAAGGAAGAAUGAAAGACGGAGCAAUCUGUCACUAAGGGAUGGGCCUGCGGCGCAUUAGCUAGUUGGUGGGGUAACGGCCCACCAAGGCGACGAUGCGUAGCCGACCUGAGAGGGUGAACGGCCACACUGGGA
rnacentral:rRNA from 1 species